UACGAAGGGGGGCUAGCGUUGUUCGGAAUUACUGGGCGUAAAGCGCACGUAGGCGGAUCGAUCAGUCAGGGGGUGAAAUCCCCAGGGCUCAACCCUGGAACUGCCUUUGAUACUGUCGAUCUGGAGUAUGGAAGAGGUGAGUGGAAUUCCGAGUGUAGAGGUGAAAUUCGUAGAUAUUCGGAGGAACACCAGUGGCGAAGGCGGCUCACUGGUCCAUUACUGACGCUGAGGUGCGAAAGCGUGGGGGAGCAAACAGG
rnacentral:rRNA from 1 species